rnacentral:lncRNA from 1 species
GUGAGUCUGGCAGCUCCUGAAGUUUGGGGUACUCAGAAUCGGGGGGGGGGGGGGUAAUGACACAAGACCUGAAAAGAUCAUCUCAGUCAUCUCCCACGCUGGAGGAUUUGAGGAUGCACAGUCUCUUCCAAAACCAGGGCCAGGAGGAGUGGGAGGAGCUUUCUCAAGGGAGAAGAAGCAUAAGGAGAGACAAGAGUCUCUCUCCACCCCACAUACUUCCCAUAAACCACAGUGUCAGGCUCUAAAAGUAUCCCUGAUGCUCUAAAGUCAACUGAGAAACCAGUUCCAGGGGUUAAAACUUGUCUGAGAUAACAACUAAAUUCUAUUUGAUUUCCCACUAUUGGUCAUCUGCUGGGAAUGAGGCAUAAGCCCAGCUCUGUCACAUGGAGGAAAAACAUGAUGCAAUUAACCAAGUUGCUAGUGCAUCAUCUCAUCCUGACCUCUGCCACCAGCCUCCAUCCAGGCCAUCCCCUGCAAUCCCACACAGCCAGCUGGGCCCCUGGGGGCCAUCCCAGCCCUCCUCCUGGGUUCCCUUCCCAGGUCCAACUGAGGAUCUUCGUGUGAAGCUCACCUCAGGUACCUAUGUCUGAAUCCCACCAGCAGUGCAAAGACCCUUCCUGGAGGGGAAAGCUCAAGAAACCAGAGCAGCUCCACAGCCCAGGCCUGGAGGGGAAGCCAGAGGGAGUUUAUGCAGCAGGAGCCCUGGGCCGGCCCCGCCCGGCUGCCUGCCUGACUGAGGGCUGCCUCUGCAGUUGAGUCGUCCCCAUCCCCUGGGGGACUGUUUUCUCUAAUAAUCCUUUAAUAUUAGGAAAUAUCUGUCAGUGUUUACAAUUUCCUGAAUGUCUUCAAUUUGCUCCCUUUUUUGUGAUGUUUGUUUGAAUGAAGAAUCUAAAGAUCUGUACAUUGUCAUUGAUAGAUAUAUCUCUGAAAUCCUUUGUAGUUUAGUUUACCCUCUAAGUAAAUCCUCUCUCCACUUUUUUAAUGAAAAAAAAGUGUCCUUUUUAAUGAAAGCAAAGUAAGGUUGUUUAUGCUGCAGUUUCCCAAACCUGAAUUUUUAAAAUUAAAACACAGUAAAGUCC